rnacentral:rRNA from 1 species
GUGGGGAAUCUUGCGCAAUGGGCGAAAGCCUGACGCAGCAACGCCGCGUGGGGGAUGAAGGCCUUCGGGUUGUAAACCUCUUUCACCAUCGACGAAGCCCUUUGGGGUGACGGUAGGUGGGGAAGAAGCACCGGCUAACUACGUGCCAGCAGCCGCGGUAAUACGUAGGGUGCGAGCGUUGUCCGGAUUUAUUGGGCGUAAAGAGCUCGUAGGCGGUUUGUCGCGUCGGCCGUGAAAACCUACAGCUUAACUGUGGGCUUGCGGUCGAUACGGGCAGACUUGAGUUCGGCAGGGGAGACUGGAAUUCCUGGUGUAGCGGUGAAAUGCGCAGAUAUCAGGAGGAACACCGGUGGCGAAGGCGGGUCUCUGGGCCGAUACUGACGCUGAGGAGCGAAAGCGUGGGGAGCGAACAGGAUUAGAUACCCUAGUAGUCC